UUAUGUGAUCGUCUCUCGCAUAUCAAUAAGCGGAGGAAAAGAAACUAACAAGGAUUCCCCUAGUAACGGCGAGUGAAGCGGGAAGAGCUCAAAUUUGAAAUCUUAAAGGGUUUCCCUUUACGAAUUGUAGUUUAAAGAAGUGUUUUCUGUUGAGGUUUUGGUAAAAGUUCUUUGGAAUAGGACAUCAUAGAGGGUGAGAAUCCCGUAUUUGACCUUUACUUUCAACUUUGUGAUACACUUUCAAAGAGUCGGAUUGUUUGGGAAUGCAGUCCAAAGUGGGUGGUAAAUUUCAUCUAAAGCUAAAUAUUGGCGAGAGACCGAUAGCGAACAAGUACCGUGAGGGAAAGAUGAAAAGAACUUUGAAAAGAGAGUUAAACAGUACGUGAAAUUGUCAAAAGGGAAGCGUUUGACACCAGUGUUGUUUUUCUGAAAAUCAAUUAAAGAACUGUUUAUGCUAAGCUGUUUAGACUUUAUCAGCUAUCUGUUUAGUUUUGAGCUUUUCUUUAAUGCACUUUUCAGUUAACAAGUCAACAUCAAUUUCUUUUGCUGUAAAAAAGCUUGAGGAAGGUGGCUUGAGAUUCGUCUUAAGUGUUUAUAGCCUCUUGCCCAUGCAGUCGGAGAGAUUGAGGUCUGCAGCGUAGAUCCUUCGGGGCUAAAUGCAUUUGUGCUAAGUUAUAGCAUUUUAUAGACAACUUGUUGACUAUGAUUUGUCUUGUAGCUUACUCGCUUAUGUUAUUUUACCUACGCUUAGGAUGUUGAUCUACAGAGCGAGAGU
rnacentral:rRNA from 1 species